rnacentral:rRNA from 1 species
GUUAAAGUUGCUGCAGUUAAAAAAGCUCGUAGUUGAAUUUUCCGGCAGUAUUGCCUGUCCGUAAGGGUAUCGACCACCGUCAAAAGUUUUUGAUACUUGAGCGGACUUUUACUGUGAUUAAAAUAGAGUGCUCAAAGCAGGCUUGUGCUUGAAUAUUUCAGCAUGGAAUAAUAAAAGACGACUUCAGUCAAUUUAUUGGUUAUUGGCAGAAGUAAAUGAUUAACAGAAACAGUUGGGGGCAUCCGUAUUUGAUAGUCAGAGGUGAAAUUCUUAGAUUUAUCAAAGACGAACUAAUGCGAAAGCAUUUGCCAAGAAUGUUUUCAUUAAUCAAGAACGAAAGUUAGGGGAUCCAAGACGAUUAGAUACCGUCGUAGUCCUAACCAUAAACUAUACCGACUAGGGAUUGG